rnacentral:hammerhead_ribozyme from 1 species
AUCCAGUUGAAGAGUCGUAAAUAGGACGAGAUGCGCAUCCUGGAU